UAGGGAAUCUUCGGCAAUGGACGAAAGUCUGACCGAGCAACGCCGCGUGAGUGAAGAAGGUUUUCGGAACGUAAAACUCUGUUGUUAGAGAAGAACGUUGCAUAGAGUGGAAAAUUAUGCAAGUGACGGUAUCUAACCAGAAAGGGACGGCUAACUACGUGCCAGCAGCCGCGGUAAUACGUAGGUCCCGAGCGUUGUCCGGAUUUAUUGGGCGUAAAGCGAGCGCAGGUGGUUUAAUAAGUCUGAUGUAAAAGGCGGUGGCUCAACCAUUGUGUGCAUUGGAAACUGUUAGACUUGAGUGCAGUAGAGGAGAGUGGAAUUCCAUGUGUAGCGGUGAAAUGCGUAGAUAUAUGGAGGAACACCGGUGGCGAAAAGCGGCUCUCUGGACUGUCACUGACACUGAGGCUCGAAAGCGUGGGUAGCAAACAGGAUUAGAUAGCC
rnacentral:rRNA from 1 species